UACGUAGGGGGCAAGCGUUGUUCGGAAUUACUGGGCGUAAAGCGCGCGUAGGCGGUCUGAAAAGUCAGAUGUGAAAGCCCCGGGCUCAACUUGGGAACUGCAUUUGAUACUGUCAGACUAGAGUACAGGAAGAGGUGACUGGAAUUCCCAGUGUAGCGGUGAAAUGCGUAGAUAUUGGGAGGAACACCAGAUGGCGAAGGCGGGUCACUGGGCUGAUAACUGACGCUGGAAGUGCGGAAAGCCAGGGGAGCGAACGGG
rnacentral:rRNA from 1 species